rnacentral:lncRNA from 12 species
AUGGAAAUGCCAUCAGUGGCUACAGGUAAAAUGCUGCUGCUGCCAUCAUUACCACCAGGAAAGCUGUUGGUGGCCCAAGACCCUGAUUUCCAGCUCAACCAAAGCCAGAAUUGGGAAGUGGGCAACAGCACAUCUCGUGCCCAGUGGAGGUGCAAAGGCGCAAGGAAACAGAGGAGUACAUGCACUGCAUGGUCCAGCCCCUGGCAGGAUCUGCCCCUCGGAGGUCCUCGUGGAAGACCAGUGGGAGAGACAACUUCUGCUUCUGGCUCUUCCAGUGUAGCCAUUGCUAGUGGUUGCUGCAAGUUGCUAGUGGUUGCAUUAGCCAUUCACUAGCAAAGGCCCUCUUCCCAGUGAGCGGAGGCCAGGCCCGGGUUGAAUGUCUGAAGAGUGACGCUGGGGGCUGCGGGAGGACUCCUUGAUCCUCUGUGCCACUCCUGUAGGACCACAUGCGGAUCUGGCAUUCAUGGGUCCUGUCCUAGCAUUGUCUCACCGUGGUCUUGCGCUCAGAGGAGUAACCAAUGGAUACAUUGUCAUUGGAGAAUUGUUGAAAAUGUGACAAUUUGGGGAAUAUACUCAGGGGGUGCAGCCAGACUCCCCUUCCCACCUCAUGCCUAUAAGUCCCUUAUUGAAGGGGCAUGGUGGGUGCUGGAAGUG